CCCAGACUCCUACGGGAGGCAGCAGUGGGGGAUAUUGCACAAUGGGGGGAACCCUGAUGCAGCGACGCCGCGUGGGUGAAGGAGCGUUUCGGCGCGUAAAGCCCUAUCGGCAGGGAAGAAGGAGGACGGUACCUGACUAAGAAGCCCCGGCUAACUACGUGCCAGCAGCCGCGGUAAUACGUAGGGGGCAAGCGUUAUCCGGAUUUACUGGGUGUAAAGGGGGCGCAGACGGCAGCGCAAGCCAGGAGUGAAAGCCCGGGGCCCAACCCCGGGACUGCUCUUGGAACUGCGCGGCUGGAGUGCAGGAGGGGCAGACGGAAUUCCUAGUGUAGCGGUGAAAUGCGUAGAUAUUAGGAGGAACACCAGUGGCGAAGGCGGCCUGCUGGGCUUUUACUGACGCUGAGGCUCGAAAGUGUGGGGAGCAAACAGGAUUAGAUACCCGUGUA
rnacentral:rRNA from 1 species